ACGGCUCAGUAACACGUGGACAACCUGCCCUUAGGUUGGGUAUAAACCCGGGAAACUGGGUAUAAUACCCGAUAGGUCUCGAUUGCUGGAAUGCAUCGAGAUUUAAAGCUCCGGGGCCUAAGGAUGGGUCUGCGGCCUAUCAGGUAGUAGUGGGUGUAGCGUACCUACUAGCCUACGACGGGUACGGGUUGUGAGAGCAAGAGCCCGGAGAUGGAUUCUGAGACACGAAUCCAGGCCCUACGGGGUGCAGCAGGCGCGAAAACUUUACAAUGCUGGCAACAGCGAUAAGGGAACCUCGAGUGCCAGGUUACAAAUCUGGCUGUCGAGAUGCCUAAAAAGCAUUUCAUAGCAAGGGCCGGGCAAGACCGGUGCCAGCCGCCGCGGUAACACCGGCGGCUCGAGUGGUAACCGUUAUUAUUGGGUCUAAAGGGUCUGUAGCCGGCCGGAUAAGUCUCUUGAGAAAUCUGGCAGCUUAACUGUCAGGCUUUCAGGAGAUACUGUCUGGCUCGAGGCCGGGAGAGGUGAGAGGUACUUCAGGGGUAGGGGUGAAAUCUUGUAAUCCUUGAAGGACCACCAGUGGCGAAGGCGUCUCACCAGAACGGACCUGACGGCAAGGGACGAAAGCUAGGGGCACGAACCGGAUUAGAUACCCGGGUAGUCCUAGCCGUAAACGAUACUCGCUAGGUGUCGGCCACGGUGCGACCGUUGUCGGUGCCGUAGGGAAGCCGUGAAGCGAGCCACCUGGGAAGUACGGCCGCAAGGCUGAAACUUAAAGGAAUUGGCGGGGGAGCACCACAACGGGUGGAGCUUGCGGUUUAAUUGGAUUCAACGCCGGG
rnacentral:rRNA from 1 species